UGUUAAAGAGGCCACCGCGGCGGCAGACAACAAGUGUAGCAGUGCACUGGAAGAGGCAAUGCGUCCUCCGAUCACACCACUGUCCUGUCUAACAUCCACGUUGUCUUUGAUGCAGAACAAGUCAGCAGAUGUUUGGAGAAGAAAGUAGUAACGACGAUGUCACCGAUUGUCGAUACGUAGAUAAAAUUUGAUAUGACAGCUCAAAGAGUGAUGCACACUCGGUGUCGACUUCAAAGCUAUCAUAUACCGGUACAACAUAAGUCGCCUGCGUGGCGUACACGACCGGCGAGAUACGGCUCACAGAUGAAUGACCCAGAGUAAUUUCCGCCAAUACAUUCAUCUUCUUGGGAGAGAAAUUUACGGUCCUGUUGUAUUUGACACAGACAUAUCUUCAUGAUGGUGUGGAACUCUUCGGUGCUUAGUCCAGUCACUGUCCUGUUGCUGGUGUACCUGAUUGGUUGCCAUGGUGAUGACAAGCCAAUACAACACCUCAUCCUACUGGACAAUUUGCCGGUGUCUAUGGAUAGAACAUCUCCACUUGUGUUCACCAUUCGCUCUGAUUACAAGGGCAUUGUGGAGUUUCAAGAAUCGGACAGUUUCAAGUUUUGAUGAACAUAACAGCGCCCUCUGUUAGAGAUGCUUAUUACAGUUCAUCAUGAGGCUAUAACUCAGCAUGGGGAGUUACUACUGCAGGUG